CUAUCGGAAAAAAAAAACGAAUUAAUCAGCAGUUUUCCUAAGACAUUGUUGUGGCAGGCAACACCCCCAAGGACGCCGUGAUUUAGGAAAGGAAGAUUCGGCCCAUAUUGCAAGUUAAUUAUGCAAAUCACAGUUUGAAGUAUCUGAUAUCGUCUAGGUACGGUGCUCUACUAAAGGAAGAUCGACAAAUGUUACACUUUCCUAAAGAUGUAACAUGAGGUGAGGGUGGAACGGAAAAGAUCACUGGCGGAAGUUCCCUGGACAGACACCCCUUUCAAUGCGUUCGACAUGAGGUACAGAGCUAGAGUUAAUCCAAGAAAACGAGUCGCGCUAUUCCAUUCCAUAGAAAAAAAAAAAAACAAUAAUAUAUAAAUAACAGUAGAUUUGCAAAUUUCAAGAAACAACGAAACUAGGCCAAUAGAUACAUUGGCAAGCCAGCAACUGGUGCUGUUUUCCAAAUAAGGAGAACUUUUUACGAUAGCUGCAAACAUGUAUGUAUUAAUGCCGUUGUGGAUCAAGAAGAAGCCUUCCUAGACCAGUCUAGAAGAAGGGACCAUGGUGCUCCGAAUUUGCAUCCCAGAUCUCAUGCAUUUCGCAUCCGCUAUCACUAAUCUCAGCUGGUUGCUGAUUUAUAGUUUCUGCGGCUAUGAGUCAAGUCUAAACGAGGGUCUUCAUAUGUGGUUUUGAAUCCAAAACAGCAGCACCUAUGAGGGUUCCUUCAGGAAUAUCCUUGCCUGCAUGUAAUGAAACGUGAGUGUCUUCCGUUUGAAGACUGCCUAAAUGAAGAAACGUAUAGGCAACACACGGAGUAGCCACUUGGUGCAGGCACGGGUGUGGCGUGGACUAGAUGGCUCGACCAAAAUACCGGAAAAGGCUUUGCCUUGAAUAAUAUGAACUGACUUAGAAAACGGAUGCAAAGAGCUUCAAAGUAUCCCAUCUGAGAAAUAAGCGCUACGUAUGCAUUUUUGUACGAAGCCCUCGCGUACACACACGCAGGUAGAUACUACGACUCUCCUCAAAGGUAAUAAAGUCAACAAA
rnacentral:lncRNA from 1 species